rnacentral:rRNA from 1 species
GACGGACGCUGGCGGCGUGCUUAACACAUGCAAGUCGAACGAUGAAGCCGGAGCUUGCUCUGGUGAAUUAGUGGCGAACGGGUGAGUAACACGUGAGUAACCUGCCCUUGACUCUGGGAUAACUGCUAGAAAUGGUAGCUAAUACCGGAUACGACCCUCGGAGGCAUCUUCAGGGGGUGGAAAGAAUUUCGGUCAAGGAUGGACUCGCGGCCUAUCAGCUAGUUGGUGAGGUAAUGGCUCACCAAGGCGACGACGGGUAGCCGGCCUGAGAGGGUGACCGGCCACACUGGGACUGAGACACGGCCCAGACUCCUACGGGAGGCAGCAGUGGGGAAUAUUGCACAAUGGGCGCAAGCCUGAUGCAGCAACGCCGCGUGAGGGAUGACGGCCUUCGGGUUGUAAACCUCCUUUAGUAGGGAAGAAGCGAAAGUGACGGUACCUGCAGAAAAAGCACCGGCUAACUACGUGCCAGCAGCCGCAGUAA